rnacentral:rRNA from 1 species
UGGGGAAUAUUGCACAAUGGGCGCAAGCCUGAUGCAGCGACGCCGCGUGAGGGAUGACGGCCUUCGGGUUGUAAACCUCUUUCAGUAGGGACGAAGCGCAAGUGACGGUACCUACAGAAGAAGCACCGGUCAACUACGUGCCAGCAGCCGCGGUAAUACGUAGGGUGCGAGCGUUGUCCGGAAUUACUGGGCGUAAAGAGCUCGUAGGUGGUUUGUCGCGUUGUCCGUGAAAACUCACAGCUUAACUGUGGGCGUGCGGGCGAUACGGGCAGACUGGAGUACUGCAGGGGAGACUGGAAUUCCUGGUGUAGCGGUGGAAUGCGCAGAUAUCAGGAGGAACACCGGUGGCGAAGGCGGGUCUCUGGGCAGUAACUGACGCUGAGGAGCGAAAGCGUGGGGAGCGAACAGGAUUAGAUACCCUGGUAGUCCACGCCGUAAACGGUGGGUACUAGGUGUGGGUUUCCUUCCUUGGGAUCCGUGCCGUAGCUAACGCAUUAAGUACCCCG